rnacentral:rRNA from 1 species
GAUGAACGCUGGCGGCGUGCCUAAUACAUGCAAGUCGAGCGAACGGACGAGAAGCUUGCUUCUCUGAUGUUAGCGGCGGACGGGUGAGUAACACGUGGAUAACCUACCUAUAAGACUGGGAUAACUUCGGGAAACCGGAGCUAAUACCGGAUAAUAUUUUGAACCGCAUGGUUCAAAAGUGAAAGACGGUCUUGCUGUCACUUAUAGAUGGAUCCGCGCUGCAUUAGCUAGUUGGUAAGGUAACGGCUUACCAAGGCAACGAUGCAUAGCCGACCUGAGAGGGUGAUCGGCCACACUGGAACUGGGACACGGUCCAGACUCCUACGGGAGGCAGCAGUAGGUAAUCUUCCGCAAUGGGCGAAAGCCUGACGGAGCAACGCCGCGUGAGUGAUGAAGGUCUUCGGAUCGUAAAACUCUGUUAUUAGGGAAGAACAUAUGUGUAAGUAACUGUGCACAUCGUGACGGUACCUAAUCAGAAAGCCACGGCUAACUACGUG